rnacentral:rRNA from 1 species
GACGAACGCUGGCGGCGCGCUUAACACAUGCAAGUCGAACGGAAAGGCCUGCUUUCCCUUGUGGAUUGCGGGUACUCGAGUGGCGAACGGGUGAGUAACACGUGAGUGAUCUGCCCCCAACUUGGGUAUAAGCCUGGGAAACUGGGUCUAAUUCCCGAUAGGACUGCAGGGUGGUGCCUGUGGUGGAAAACGAUUUUCUAGUGGUUGGGGAUGAGCUCGCGGCCUAUCAGCUUGUUGGUGGGGUAAUGGCCUACCAAGGCGGCGACGGGUAGCCGGCCUGAGAGGGUGGACGGCCACAUUGGGACUGGGAUACGGCCCAGACGCCUACGGGAGGCAGCAGUGGGGAAUAUUACACAAUGGGCGGAAGCCUGAUGCAGCGACGCAGCGUGGGGGAUGACGGCCUUCGGGUUGUAAACUCCUUUCGACCGCGAGGAAGCCACCUGGUUGGAAGGGUGGUGACGGUAGUGGUAGAAGAAGCACCGGCUAACUACGUG